rnacentral:rRNA from 1 species
GACGAACGCUGGCGGCGUGCUUCAUACAUGCAAGUCCAACGAAAAGCAAGAACUUGCUCUUGUGGAAAGUGGCGGACGGGUGAGUAACAUGUAGGAAAUCUGCCCUUUAGCGGGGGACAACAGUUGGAAACGACUGCUAAUACCCCAUAUGAGCUAGCCUGAAAUGGUUAUCUUGAAAACUCCGGUGCUAAAGGAUGAACCUGCCCCUGAUUAACUAGUUGGCGGGGUAAAUGCCCCCCCAGGGUAUGAUUCGUAACUGGUUUGAAAAGAUGAUCAGCCCCCAUGGGACUGAGACACGGCCCAUACUCCUACGGGAGGCAGCAGUAGGGAAUUUUGCGCAAUGGGGGAAACCCUGACGCAGCAACGCCGCGUGACCGAUGACGCCCUUCGGGGUGUAAAGGUCUGUCAGUAGGGACGAAUUUUGACGGUACCUACAGAGGAAGCACCGGCUAACUCCGUGCCAGCAGCCGCGGUAAUACGGGGGGUGCAAGCGUUGUCCGGAAUCAUUGGGCGUAAAGAGUUCGUAGGCGGCAUGUCAAGUCUGGUGUUAAAUCCUGAGGCUCAACUUCAGUUCAGCACUGGAUACUGGCAAGCUAGAAUGCGGUAGGGUAAAGGGAAUUCCUGGUGUAGCGGUGAAAUGCGUAGAUAUCAGGAAGAACACCGGUGGCGUAAGCGCUUUACUGGGCCGUUAUUGACGCUGAGGAACGAAAGCCGGGGGAGCGAAUGGGAUUAGAUACCCCAGUAGUCCCGGCCGUAAACGAUGGAUACUAGGUGUUGUGGGUAUCGACCCCUACAGUGCCGUAGCUAACGCGAUAAGUAUCCCGCCUGGGGAGUACGCACGCAAGUGUGAAACUCAAAGGAAUUGACGGGGACCCGCACAAGCGGUGGAACAUGUGGUUUAAUUCGAAGCAACGCGAAAAACCUUACCAAGACUUGAAAUCGAUGGAAUCCUUAAGAAAUUAGGGAGUGCCCUUCGGGGAACCAGAAGACAGGUGGUGCACGGCUGUCGUCAGCUCGUGUCGUGAGAUGUUGGGUUAAGUCCCGCAACGAGCGCAACCCUCGUUAUUAGUUGCAUACGUCGGUAUACUGGCGUAGUGCUCUCUAAUAAGACUGCCGGUGAUAAACCGGAGGAAGGUGGGGACGACGUCAAGUCAUCAUGCCCCUUAUGUCUUGGGCUACACACGUGUUACAAUGGUUGGUACAACGAGCAGCCAACUCGCGAGAGUGAGCAAAUCUCUUAAAACCAAUCUCAGUUCGGAUCGUACUCUGCAACUCGAGUACGUGAAGUCGGAAUCGCUAGUAAACGCAGAUCAGCACGCUGCGUUGAAUACGUUCCCGGGUCU